rnacentral:rRNA from 1 species
UACAGAGGGUGCGAGCGUUAAUCGGAGUUACUGGGCGUAAAGGGCGCGUAGGCGGUAGUAUGUGUGUGAUGUGAAAGCCCUGGGCUUAACCUGGGAAGUGCAUCGCGGACUAUACAACUGGAGUACAGGAGAGGGUGGCGGAAUUUCCGGUGUAGCGGUGAAAUGCGUAGAGAUGGGAAGGAACGUCGAUGGCGAAGGCAGCCACCUGGCCUGAACUGAACGCUGAGGCG